GGGCGCUUAGCUCAGCGGGAGAGCGCCGCCCUUACAAGGCGGAGGUCGUAGGUUCGAUCCCUACAGCGCCCA
rnacentral:tRNA from 1 species